rnacentral:misc_RNA from 1 species
AGCCUUUGACAACCAAUCUAGCUUUGUAUCGUGGAGAUGAGGAAUUUUCUUCAUGCUUCACCCUAUAGACCCACCGAUUUUUCAAGGCUUUUUUGUCUUUGUGAAGCUUAACCAGUUCAAAAGUAUGAUUAUCGAGCAAAGACUGCAUUUCAUCCUUCAUGGCUGUAACCCAUUCUACCUUCUGCUCACUCUCAAUAGCUUCUUG